AGUGGCAGAAAACUGCACAGACAUAAGGGAGCUAUGCAAAAAGAAGGACGGCUGUUUCUGUGACGACACACAAGAAAAGCUAACCGUGAAAGUGGCAGAAAACUGCACAGACAUAAGGGAGCUAUGCAAAAAGAAGGACGGCUGUUUCUGUGACGACACACAAGAAAAGCUAACCGUGAAAGUGGCAGAAAACUGCACAGACAUAAGGGAGCUAUGCAAAAAGAAGGACGGCUGUUUCUGUGACGACACACAAGAAAAGCUAACUGUGAAAGUGGCAGAAAACUGCACAGACAUAAGGGACCUUUGCAAAAAGGAGGACGGCUGUUUCUGUGACGACACACAAGAAAAGCUAACUGUGAAAGUGGCAGAAAACUGCACAAACAUAAGGGAGCUUUGCAAAAAGGAGGACGGCUGUUUCUGUGACGACAAACAAGAAAAGCUAACUGUGAAAGUGGCAGAAAUCUGUACAGACAUAAGGGAGCUCUGCAAAAAGGAGGACGGCUGUUUCUGUGAUGACACGCAAGGAAAGCUAACUGUGAAAGAUCAGGCACCACUCACUGUUGCCCCGGUCAACAAAAGGGAUCACGGUGGCUGCGUGUGCAACUGCAACUGCCCAUCAUGUGCAACGGUCG